GAUGAACGCUAGCGGCAGGCCUAAUACAUGCAAGUCGAACGGUGGUAGCAAUACCACAGUGGCGUACGGGUGCGUAACGCGUAAGGAACCUGCCCUCAACUGGGGGAUAGCCCGCCGAAAGGUGGAUUAAACCCGCAUAACGCAGGGAUGUGGCAUCACAUUAUUUGCUAAAACAUUAGUGGUUGAGGAUGGUCUUGCGUCUGAUUAGCUAGUUGGCGGGGUAAUGGCCCACCAAGGCGAUGAUCAGUAGGGGCUCUGAGAGGAGCGGCCCCCACACUGGCACUGAGAUACGGGCCAGACUCCUACGGGAGGCAGCAGUAGGGAAUAUUGGGCAAUGGACGCAAGUCUGACCCAGCCAUGCCGCGUGCAGGAAGAA
rnacentral:rRNA from 1 species